UUAGUAACGGCGAGUGAAGAGGGAUUAGCCCAGCACCGAAGCUUGCAGUCACUUGAUUGUUAAGCAAUGUGGUGUUUAGGUUUGUUCUUGGCUUACUGCUUUAUCCAAAGUCCAAUUAUGAGUAUGGCAAUUGGAUUGGCCCAAAGAGGGUGUAAGGCCCGUGUGGAUAAAGAUCAGGUUAGUCGGUAUUAGCCCUGAACAAACCUUGGAGUCGGGUUGUUUGUGAAUGCAGCCCAAAGUGGGUGGUAAACUCCAUCUAAGGCUAAAUACUAGCACGAGUCCGAUAGCAAACAAGUACCGUGAGGGAAAGUUGAAAAGUACUUUGAAGAGAGGGUAAACAGUGCGUGAAACUGCUCAAAGGUAAACGGGUGGAGUUGAACUGGAAGCCUUUGGAAUUCAGCUGGUUGGUAUGCUAGCGCUUAGAAUCCGUUCAGUUACGGGCAUUUGUUUGUAGCAUUAUUGGUGCAGACAAGUGUUUGCGAUGUAUUGGUUAGAUACUGCAUGUCUAAGCUGUUUAGUUGUCUGGCUAGUGCACUUUCCUUUGGUGUCCACCACGACCGGUUGUGCUGCCUGUUUGUUUUGAUUAAACCAAUUGGAUGCAAUCUUUGUGGUAGUGUCUAAUUGGGAUAGCAGGUGGCUUGUUAGUUGGGGCUUUGCUUUGUGGCGGUUUUGGCUAACAAGUUUAAUCAGCUAGUUGAGACAAAUCUGUCCAGCCUGUCGGUGACAAAUGGGCUUAGUUGGUAUGGUGCAAUUGACUGGAUAAUGUGAGUUGGUUGGAGUUGUUUGUUUCGGCAAAUGCUUUGGCCACUUGUGUUGUUUAGUUAGUUGUGCUUUAUGCUGGCUUGGUUCACGAGUCUGUGGUGCAGCGGUAGAUUAUCCACCUGACCCGUCUUGAAACACGGACCAAGAAGUUUAACAUGUAUGCGAGUCAUUGGGCGUUACGAAACCCACAGGCGCAGUGAAAGUAAAAGCUAUACUUAGCUAAGGCGAGAUCUUGUUGCUGUUAAUGAAGCAACCGCUUUAUUGCAGUGCAAGCGCAUCGCCAGCCCGUUUCAUGAUGUAUUUCAUUGGAGCGGAGCUUGAGCAUACAUGUUGAGACCCGAAAGAUGGUGAGCUAUGCUUGCGCAGGUUGAAGCCAGAGGAAACUCUGGUGGAGGACCGUAGCGAUUCUGACGUGCAAAUCGAUCGUUUAACGUGAGUAUAGGGGCGAAAGACUAAUCGAACCAUCUAGUAGCUGGUUCCCUCUGAAGUUUCCCUCAGGAUAGCUGGCACUCAGUAAUCAUUCGUAGAUAAUUUUUUCCGGUAAAGCGAAUGAUUAGAGGUAUUGGGGAUAAAACGUCCUCAACCUAUUCUCAAACUUUAAAUGGGUUAGAAGCUUUGCUCGCUUAAAUGGAGUGAAGUGUUGAAUAUGAGUGCCAAGUGGGCCGUUUUUGGUAAGCAGAACCGGCGAUGUGGGAUGAACCAAACGUUUGGUUAAGGUGCCUAAUGUAACGCUAAUGAGAUCCCACAAAAGGUGUUGGUUGGUCCAGACAGCAGGACGGUGGCCAUGGAGGUUGGAAUCCGCUAAGGAG
rnacentral:rRNA from 1 species